rnacentral:rRNA from 1 species
GGUGCAAGCGUUAAUCGGAAUUACUGGGCGUAAAGCGUGCGCAGGCGGUUAUGUAAGACAGAUGUGAAAUCCCCGGGCUCAACCUGGGAACUGCAUUUGUGACUGCAUCGCUGGAGUGCGGCAGAGGGGGAUGGAAUUCCGCGUGUAGCAGUGAAAUGCGUAGAUAUGCGGAGGAACACCGAUGGCGAAGGCAAUCCCCUGGGCCUGCACUGACGCUCAUGCACGAAAGCGUGGGGAGCAAACAGG